GGUCUGUUCUGUGAGCGCUCAGCCAGGUUGUUUGGAAUUUGGGUGGGACGAAGAAGGAGCUGACGAGCUCGGACUUCUCGCCCCGCAGCCCUGGAAGACGUUCCAAGGGUGUUGGGGCCCGACUUUUCGGGGCCCAAUCUGGGAGAGGAGAAAGAUCCGGACUAACGGCACCUCUGUCUGUAUUUUUGGCUUUCAGAGGGCCCCGGACCUUUGCCACCUCCAUCUGACUUUUUGCUUUCAGUUUGGUACCAACGCCGUGCAGCACGCCUGUCUGUUGUUUGUUUGACUGUUGGUGUUGUUUGUUUUCUCUGUGUCCUAAUCUUCCUUAGAACUAACAUGGGACAGUCCCUAACAAUGCCCCUAAGUCUCACUCUUGAUCAUUGGGAAGACGUCCACGACCGGGCACACAACCAGUCCGUCGAGGUUAAAAAAAAAAAAAAAGGAAAAUGGCAGACUCUCUGCACAUCCGAGUGGCCCACUUUCGGAGCGGGAUGGCCAGUGAAUGACACAUUUAAUAAGAUCAUUAUUUUACAGGUUAAAGAUUGGGUCGUCCACGGACAUCCUGACCAGGUUUCUUAUAUUAUCACUUGAGAGAGUCUCGCCUUAAACCCCCCCCCCUGGGCGGAACCCUUCGUGGACCCGAAUUGGCCUCCCCUCAACCCCCAGCCUGUCCCCUCGGCCCCGCCCGGUCCGCCUGCCACGUCUUCCUCUCUCUACCUUUGUGAAAUCAGAGCCUUCUAAAAAAACCUGUCCUCCCGGCAGACCCAAACUCCCCUCUCAUAGAUCUUCUCUCUGACAGGCCCGGCUAAAACAGAGGAGGCAGAGCCGCCGGCCAGAUCAGUUGCCGGGCCACAGUCUGAUAAGGGUUUCUCCCCUGUCGCAGGGAGAUUGCGCAAUAAGCGCGAGGUGAUGCCAGAUACAACCUCCCAGGAUUUCCCACUUAGACAGGGAACCGGUGGCCAGACCCAAUACUGGCCGUUUUCAGCAGCUGACAUUUACAAUUGGAAACAACACAACCCUUCUUUCUCCAAAGAUCCGGUGGCACUCACUGACCUAAUAGAAUCUGUUUUACUUACCCACCAGCCUACUUGGGAUGACUGCCAACAGCUCUUACAGGCCCUCUUAACCUCAGGAAAAAAAAAAAAAAAACAAAGAGUGUUCCUAGAGGCCAAAAAGCAUGUUCUGGGAGAUGAUGGGCGUCCCACCCAGCUGCCUGAGGACCAAACUGGGAUUUUAAUACAGCUGAAGGUAAGGGACACCUAUGCCUUUAUCGCCAGUUGCUUCUAGCGGGUCUCCGAGGGGCUAUACGACGCCCUACUAAUUUGGCUCAGGUAAAACAGGUAUUACAGGAAGCAGGGGAAACUCCCUCCGCCUUUCUAGAGAGACUUAAGGAGGCCUACCGUAUGUACACUCCCUAUGACCCAGAUGACCCAGGACAAAUGACGAGUGUCUCUAUGUCCUUCAUCUGGCAGGCUGCUCCAGAUAUCAGGACUAAGUUACAGAGGUUAGAAAAUUUACAGGGCUAUACAUUACAGGAUUUACUUAAAGAAGCUGAAAAGAUUUUUAAUAAGAGAGAGAUAAAAAAAAAAAAACAAAGAAUUGAGUCGAAUCUUGGACGCCGUAGUUCAGGGCCAAGAAAGGAAGGGAGAUAGGGGGGGAGCUCGAAAGGGGCUGAAGCUGGAUAAAGAUCAAUGUGCCUAUUACAAAGAGAAAGGGCACUGGGCCAGAGAGUGCCCCAAGAAGCCUGGCGGACCCCGAAAGCCUCGACCACGAACCUCCCUCUUGGCUCUAGAUAAAGAUUAGGGAGGUCAGGGCCAGGAGCCCCCCCUGAGCCCAGGGUAACGCUUAAAGUUGGGGGGCAGCCGGUUACUUUCCUGGUAGACACAGGAGCCCAGCAUUCAGUCCUCACCCAAGCUUCAGGACAACUCAGCGACCGGACGGCCUGGGUACAAAGAGCUACUGGUGAGAAACAAUACCGAUGGACUACAGACCGCCGGGUUCAGCUGGCUACCGGUAAGGUGACCCAUUCCUUCUUACAUGUUCCGGACUGCCCGUACCCUCUGCUGGGCCGUGAUCUGCUCACCAAACUAAAAGCACAAAUUCAUUUUGAGGAAGGAGGGGCCCAAAUAACUGGCCCCCACGGAACUCCCCUUCAAGUUCUAACCCUAUAAACCGGGACAGGACACUGGCUUGGGCAGAGACUGGUGGGAUGGGGUUGGCGCUCCAACAGCCCCCCUUAAUUACAACUCCAGUCUCCAUAAAACAAUACCCCCUGUCACAUGAAGCUUAUCAAGGUAUAAGGCCUCACAUUACGAGGCUUCUAGAUCAAGACAUCCUAAUCCCCUGCCGGUCGCCUUGAAAUACGCCUCUUCUGCCUGUUAAGAAACCCGGCACUGGAGAUUAUAGGCCAGUACAAGACUUGAGAAAGGUCAACAAGAGGAUAGAAGAUAUUCAUCCGACUGUUCCAAACCCUUACAAUUUGCUCAGUAACUGUUCAUCGAUGAGAAACAGGGGUAUGCUAAAGGGGUCCUAACACAAAGGUUGGGACUCUGAAAACGCCCUGUGGCCUACCUGUCUAAGAAAUUGGACCCUGUGGCCUCCGGCUGGCCACCGUGCCUAAAGAUGGUGGCUACUAUUGCUGUCCUGAUCAAGGACGCUGGAAAAUUGACUUUGGGACAGCCACUCACCAUCCUAGCACCCCACGCAGUGGAGGCCUUGGUAAAACAGCCCCCAGACCGCUGGCUCUCUAAUUCUCACACCAAGCCUUGUUACUGGAUGCAGAACGGGUUCAGUUUGGGCCCGUAGUCGCCCUCAAUCCUGCCACCUUGCUUCCUCUACCAGAGGAGGCAAAACAGCAUGACUGCCUACAAAUCCUCGCAGAAGUACAUGGAACCAGGCCGGACCUAUUGGACCAGCCUCUUUAGAAUGCUGACCACACAUGGUACACGGAUGACAACAGCUUCUUGGCAGAGGGAGAGCGAAAGGCUGGAGCUGCGGUCACUACGGAGGACAAAGUGAUUUGGGCGAAAGCCCUGCCUGCUGGUACCUCCGCACAACGGGCUGAACUCAUCGCCUUGACUCAGGCGUUCAAGAUGACAAAAGCCCUUCUCUGAGGGCCCAUUUACAGGCCCUACAGAUUGUGCAGAGAGACGUCUGGAGACCUUUGGCCGCUGCUUACCAGGACAAGCUUGAGCAUCCGGUGGUGCCACACCCGUUCCAGAUUGGAGACACCGUGUGGGUGCACAGACACCAGACCAAGAAUCUGGAGCCACGGUGGAAAGGACCCUACACCGUCCUCCUGACUACCCCGACCGCCCUAAAGGUAGACGGAGUCUCGGCUUAGAUCCACGCACCACACGUCAAGGCAGUCCGGUCUGAGGAAUUGACUAAUCACAACACUACACCCCAGACAUGGAGAGUUCAGCGCACUCCAAACCCCUUAAAGUUAAAACUCCUACGUGGCUCCUCCUAGCCCUUUUGUGGCCUAGAGUCAGUGGGGGAAUAAGCCCCCACCAGACAGAAAUUUCUUGACCAAGUCGAGUGAAAGAUUUCACUCAAAGUUAACAAAAAAAAAAUGGGGGAAUGAAAGACCCCAGCUUAGCAGCAGUAACGCCAUUUUGGAAGGCUGUACUUAAGAUGACUGGUUCAGGGAAAGGUUAGAACACUGAGUACACAGCGGCUGCCAAGCAGGAUGUGUUUGGUUGAAGGCCUGGCAACAGGACGACUUCGGUUGAGCACCUGACAAUGAAAAAAAAAGCCCCGGGAGAGGUCCCACACCCUGGUGGGGGGCCGAGUCAGUCGUUAUGUUCCAAGAAGGUAGCUAAGAAACUUGCCCCCGGGCUGAACCCUUGGGGGGCCGAGUCAGCCGUUAUGUUUCAGGAAGGUAGCUAGGAAACUUGCCCCCGGGCUAAACCCUUGUCAUAUUAGAAUCCACCAAUUAUAUCCCUGUAACCAUGCAUCUGCUUCUGUAUGCUUGCUUCUGCUCCCCAAAAUCCUAUAAAAGCCCAUCCUUGGUUCCGUGGGGCGCGCCAGUCCCCCGAGUGACUGAAGUGCCCGCAGGUGCCUGUGCCUGUGUAUCCCGACAAUAAACCAAAUCCUCUUGCUGAUUGCA